UGAAUACGAGAUGCUACGGCGUCGAAGCAGUCUAUGUCAUACUUCCAAGAAAAGCUUGCACUAUCAUAAACAAAUAAUGCCUGUACCAUAACCGACACAGGUGGGUAGGUAGAGUAUACUAAGGGGCGCGAGAUAACUCUCUCUAAGGAACUCGGCAAAAUGACUCCGUAACUUCGGGAGAAGGAGUGCCUUAUUUUAUAAGGUUGCAAUAACAAGAUCCAAGCAACUGUUUACCAAAAACACAGGUCUCCGCUAAGUCGUAAGACGAUGUAUGGGGGCUGACGCCUGCCCAGUGCCAGAAGGUUAAAGAAGUUGGUUAGCAUCCGCGAAGCUGAUAACUGAAGCCCUGGUGAACGGCGGCCGUAACAAUAACGGUCCUAAGGUAGCGAAAUUCCUUGUCGGGUAAGUUCCGACCCGCACGAAAGGCGUAAUGAUUUGGAUACUGUCUCAGAGAGGGGCUCGGUGAAAUAGACUUGUCUGUGAAGAUGCGGACUACCUGCACCAGGACAGAAAGACCCUAUGAAGCUUUACUGUAACUUGAAAUUGAAAUUGGACUUUACUUGCGCAGUAUAGGAGGGAGGCGUUGAGAAUAUUCUUGCGGGAAUGUUGGAGCCAUCAGUGAGAUACCACUCUUGUAAUGUUAGAUUUCUAACUUUGUAUCAUUAUCUGGUCAAAGGACAGUUUCAGGCGGGCAGUUUGACUGGGGCGGUCGCCUCCCAAACGGUAACGGAGGCGCACAAAGGUUUCCUCUGAACGGGUAGAAAUCGUAUCUAGAGUGUAAAGGCAUAAGGAAGCUUGACUGUGAGACCUACAAGUCGAGCAGGGACGAAAGUCGGUCUUAGUGAUCUGACGGUGCUGAGUGGAAAGGCCGUCACUCAACGGAUAAAAGUUACUCUAAGGAUAACAGGCUGAUCUCCCCCAAGAGUUCACAUCGACGGGGAGGUUUGGCACCUCGAUGUCGGCUCAUCGCAUCCUGGGGCGGUAGUACGUCCCAAGGGUUGGGCUGUUCGCCCAUGAAAGCGGUACGCGAGCUGGGUUCAGAACGUCGUGAGACAGUUCUGUCCAUAUCCGGUGUAGGCGUUAGAAUAUUGAGAGGAGCCUUCUUUAGUACGAGAGGACCGAGAAGGACAUACCUCUGGUGUACCAGUUAUCGUGCCAACGGUAAACGCUGGGUAGCUAUGUAUGGAGUGGAUAACCGCUGAAAGCAUCUAAGUGGGAAGCCCACCUCAAGAUAAG
rnacentral:rRNA from 1 species